CUUUGAACCCUGUACGUAGACCACUUGCCAAACCCCUCCUCACUCCUGGAUGGCCUACUUGUGAUGUGGAAUCACCAUGUGUUGUGACCAGGAAGCCUAUUCAGGUUAACCUUGGAUGCAGAUCCUGGCCUUGAACCCUGUACGUUGACCGCUUGCCAAACCCACCCACGCUCCUAGAUGUGGGAUUACCCUGUGUUGUGACCUUGUGACUUUCUUAUACGUUCUAGAGGAUGCUGGGGAUGACAUCAAGACCAUGGGGUAUAGACGGGAUCCACAGGAGACAUAGACACUCUAAAGACUUUUCAUUGGGUGUGAACUGGAUCCUCCCUCUAUGCCCCUCCUCCUGACCUCCGUUUUAGAAAUGUGCCCACGUCGACUAGAUGCACUCUGAGGAGCUCUACUGAGUUUCUCUGAAAAGACUUAUGUUAGGUUUUUUAUUUUCAGGGAGAUCUGCUGGCAUCAUACUCCCUGCUUCGUGGGACUGAGGGGGCAGAAGCAGAACCAACUUCCUCAGAGUUUCAUGGCUCUGCUUCUGGCUGACAGGACACCAUUAGCUCCUGAAGGGAACUGAACGCUAGCCGUGUCUAGAUGCUCACUCCCACAGCAAGCCGUCACCCCCCUCACAGAGCCAGAAGUCAGAAGACAGGUGAGUAUGAGAAGAUUGAACUUCAAUCAAGUAAGUGAUGGCUGAGGUAUGACGCGGCUGGCAGGAGCGCAGCGCACCGUUGCUGCCCACACACACAGGCACUGCAGGGUGCAGGGCACGGGGGGGCGCCCUGGGCAGCAAAAAAAAAAAAAAAAUCAUCAGAAUCAGCUUUAUUGGCCAGGUGUACUCACGUACACUAGGAAUUCUUUGUGGUACAAUGCAUCGCCAAGCAGCAA